rnacentral:lncRNA from 1 species
UCCCGCCCCCGCACUCAGGCCACGCCCUUCGUAGGAGGCCCUGCCCUCUCCACCGAAGCCCCGCUGAGGCCCCACGCACGCACUCUUCGCAAACGCAGUUCUUCAGCCUUCGCUGAUAGAGAGUUGGCAGACUGCGGAGGGCGUUAGACAGCCCCAAAUCCUGGGCUGCCGGGAGGCAAUAAGAGCAGAAGAUGAAGGGCUUGGAGCCAGGGAUGAGCCUGAGGUCUUAGGGGAGGAUAGAGAACCAGAGAAUGAAAGCCGAGCAGGCUCCUUUAGCUUCUUGGAGAGAAGUGGGUUGAGAUUAGGAUGGAGCUGGCGGGGGCCUUUCUUCUUUAGGUUCAGGGGUUUGCCCAGGAGACCAGGGCUAGGGGUCAAAAAGAGCCAACGCCCAGCAGGCUGCCCUGAGUGCCACGGGGUCAGUCAGGCCCCUGGAAGGAAUGAUCCCGCUAUGGCCAAGACAUUUUUGGAACGUAUAGGAAAGCAUGUAGAACAAUUCAGCUUGAGCCUCACCAGGUCUUCCCAUGGUGCAGGCUCCACAUGCUCUGCCCUGGCCAGGUCUGCAGGGUAAUGGCUGCUCUGAGAAGGGCGAAGUCUGGACACAGACCCAGGCACACAGGGAGGAUGCCACGUGCUGACUGGAGUGAUGCUGCCACACACCAAGGAACCACCAGAAGUGGAGGGAGGCCUGGACAGAUCCUUCCGCAGA